UCAUCUUUAGUAAAAGUGUAAUUAUAUUAUCUUGAUGGGGUAAAGUUGUGAGGUGAAG
rnacentral:tRNA from 1 species